GCCUGGCUGGCUCAGUCAGGAGAGCAUGUGACUCCUGAUCUUGAGGUUGUGGGUUCGAGCCCCAUAUUAGGGG
rnacentral:tRNA from 1 species